AAGGUUUUCGGAUCGUAAAGCCCUGUCGGAUGGGAAGAAACACGGUACGGCUAAUAUCCGUACCGCUUGACGGUACCAUUAAAGAAAGCACCGGCUAACUACGUGC
rnacentral:rRNA from 1 species